ACACGGACCAAGGAGUGCAACAUGCGUGCGAGUCUUGGGGUGUCAAACCCAUCGGCGCAAUGAAAGUGAAGGCAGGCGUUGGUCUGCUUAGGCGAGAGUCUCCUCUGGGGACACAUCGUCAACCGAUCCCAGGCUACGCUGUGGCGGGAUUUGAGUGAGAGCGUGCCUGUUGCGACCCGAAAGAUGGUGAACUAUGCCUGAAUAGGGUGAAGCCAGAGGAAACUCUGGUGGAAGCUCGUAGCGAUUCUGACGUGCAAAUCGAUCGUCAAAUUUGGGUAUAGGGGCGAAAGACUAAUCGAACCAUCUAGUAGCUGGUUCCCUCCGAAGUUUCCCUCAGGAUAGCUGGAGCCCGGUGCAGUUUUAUCAGGUAAAGCGAAUGAUUAGAGGUCUUGGGGUUGAAACAACCUCAACCUAUUCUCAAACUUUAAAUGGGUAAGAAGCUUGGCUUGCUCAACUGAAGUCAGGCAUGGAAUGCCGGGGCUCUUAGUGGGCCAUUUUUGGUAAGCAGAACUGGCGAUGUGGGAUGAACCAAAUGCCAGGUUAAGGUGCCCGAAUCAACGCUCAUCAGAUACCAUGAAAGGUGUUGGUUGAUCUAGACAGCAGGACGGUGGCCAUGGAAGUCGGAAUCCGCUAAGGAGUGUGUAACAACU
rnacentral:rRNA from 1 species